rnacentral:rRNA from 1 species
UACGUAGGGGGCUAGCGUUGUCCGGAAUCCUUGGGCGUAAAGCGCGUGUAGGCGGUCCGGUAAGUCCGCUGUGAAAGUCGGGGGCUCAACCCUCGGAUGCCGGUGGAUACUGUCGGGCUUGAGUACGGAAGAGGCGAGUGGAAUUCCUGGUGUAGCGGUGAAAUGCGCAGAUAUCAGGAGGAACACCAAUUGCGAAGGCAGCUCGCUGGGACGUUACUGACGCUGAGACGCGAAAGCGUGGGGAGCAAACGGG